AGCGUUGUAGCUCAGUUGGCUAGAGCAUUGGCUGUACUCAAGCCUUCCCCUUGCUUGCGUGGGUUCAAUUUCCACCGAGGCCA
rnacentral:tRNA from 1 species